GGGGACGAGUGGAUUCGACAGGGAACCGCUUUGUUAGAUUGCAAGCCGAGGAUGUCGUUAGUCUCGUAAAAACAAUGACAAAAAAAUAAUUGGCAAGAAACAACUUGCACUAGCUGCCUAAAACCAGCUACGUCUGAUCUUUGACUCUCUAGAUAAAAGUAUCAGGCGCCGUUAAUCUAGAGUGCCCUUAAUGAAGCCGCUAACCUUCUUUAAGUCAAGAAAUUGCUAGCUAGUUUUUUCAUAAUCUGCCAUCGUGAUAGUGGAUAAAUGAAAUUAUAAACGAUGGAUAAGCUUGUAGUAGAUCUCAACUGAGGAUUUUCUGGACGGGGAGUUCGACCCUCCCCCGUCUCCACCA
rnacentral:tmRNA from 3 species